GCACCUUUUCUGUAACCAUUAUCUCUUUAUUUUGCUUUAUAGGGCUGGCCGCUAUGUAUCCAUAGAAACAAGCACAAAAUGAACUGUGAUGCCUUGUGGUCACAUUUGUUUUGAAGUUGCCACAUAAAGGAACACUUUCUGUGAGAUGGGAAAUCGCAGUUCUGGAAGAAUGGAGUGAUUCAUUGCUCGUGUAUUUCUAUGGCUGGGAGAAGGCAAGAAGUUGGGAAGGAACUAAGGACAG